UUUUGUGUCUCCCUCUCUCUCUGCCCUUCCCCCACUCUUACUCUCUCUCUCAAAAAUAAACAUUAAAAAAGAAAAUAAAGGGAGAAAGAGAUUCUCUUAAAACUCAGUAUUGGGGCACCUGGGUGGCUCAGUCGGUUGAGCAUCUGACUUUGGCUCAGGUCAUAAUCUCAAGGUUUUUGAGUUUGAGCCCUGCAUCAAGCUCGCCACUGCCAGCACGGAGCUCGCUUUGUAUCCUCUGUCUCCCUCUUGCUCUAUGCCCCUCUCCUGCUUGCGUUUUCUCAAAAAUAAGCAUUUAAAAAUAAAAAAGAGUAAAAAGACAGUGGAGACUACUGUUGGCUCAGAGAAUUCUCUAGGCUCCCCUUACAAUUACUACUUCAAACAUUCUCACUCAUGUCCUCAACGCUCAAGUGUUCUGCCACUUUCUACUUCUCUGCCCUUCACUUCCACAACUUUUCUUUGGUAUAGUCACCUGGCUUCAGAUUGGACUUCUGUCCAUGUUCAGCCCCCACCACUGCCACAACACAGACUUAGGCAAGGGAAGCCUUGCCCCCAAGCCCCAGGGGCUGCUUCUGGGAUUGGUUAUCACACAUUCAGUAUUCCUCAGUCGCUAGUCUGCUGCUCCCAGGCACUUCCCAAGCUUUUCUACUUCUGUGACCAUCACUUUCUUCCCUCUUUGGCCCCACCUCUACUUCUCCACAAUACACCCACACCUUCUGUACCCACCUGAAAUGAUAGUUUCUCCCUAAAGCCCUUCCUCAUUUUCCCACCCACGCCAAAGAAAAAAUGGUCUUCUCUUUUCAAUCAUUGGUCAUUUUCACUUUGAGACCGAAUUGACACACAUUAGUUUCAGGUGUACAACAUAAUGAUUCGAUAUUUAUAUAUUUUGUGAAAUGAUCAUCACAAUAAAGCUUGUUAAAUCCAUUAUUACACAUAGCUAUAAAAUAUUUUUCUUGUGAUAUGAACUUGUAAGACCUACUUUCUUAACUUUCAAAUGUACAUACGAUAUUAACUGAAGUCACCAAUGCUGUACAUUACAUCCCCAUGACUUAUUUAUAACUGGAAGCUUGUACAUCUUAAUCCCUUUCACCCAUUCUUGCCCAUGCCCCCACCCCUGCAACCACCGGUUUGUUCUCGGUAUUUACUAGUUUCGUUUCGUUUUUUUUAAUUCCCCUUUAAGAGAUCAUACACUAUUUGUCUUUCUCUGACUUGUUCCACUUAGCAUGCCCUCAAGGUCUAUCCAUAUGGUUGCAAAUGCCAUGAUAUCCUUUUUAUGGCUGAGUAAUAUUCCAUUAUGUGUGUGUGCAUACACACACCAUAUCUUCUUUAUCCAUUCAUCCAAUGAUGGACGCUUAGGUGGUUUCCAUAUCCUGGCUAUUGCAAUGAAUGUAUUGCAGUGAAUGUGAGGGUGCGUGUAUUUUUUUCGAGUUAGCAUUUCACCUUCUUUAGAUAAAUACACACAAGAUGGUGGUUCCAUCUUUAAAUUUCUGAGGAAUUUCCACACUGUUUUCUGUAAUGGCUGCACCAAUUUACAUUCCACAAACAGUGUAAGAGGGUUCCCGUUUCUCCACAUCCUCACCAACACGGUUGUUAACUGUCUUUUUGAUACCAGCUAUUCUAAAAGUUGUAAGGUGGUAUCUUGUUGUGGCUUAGGUCACAUUUCCCUGAUGAUCAGUGAUGUUGAACAUCUUUUCAUGUACCAAUUGACCAGCUAUACAGAUCUUCUUUGAAAAAAAUCUAUUUCUUCUAUUCAGAUCAUCUAUUCAGAUCAUCUGCUCAAUUUUAACUGAAUUGUUUGGGGGUUUUGCUACUGAGUUCUUUAUUUAUUUUGGAUAUUAAGCCCUUGUCAGAUAUCUGAUUUGCAAAUAUUUUCUCCCCUUUGGUAGGUUAUCUUUUCAUUUUGCAGAUGAUUCACUUUUUUAGAGUAAGUGCCAUAUGGUGCCUCGUAUUAUAUUCAUUAGUUUAUCUUUUUGCCUCAGCCGAACUCACCACUUACUUGCUGUUUGCCUCAAGUCAAUUAAUUCUCCAUGUUCUUUCUUCAUCCAGAAACCGGGGAUAAUAAUGAUGCAUAUCUCGGUCAUGCAGAGUAGAUUAAACUUGAGAAAAUGCAUCCAUGGCUUAAAACAGUGCCUGUGCACCCAAAUGCUACCUGCUCCCUAUCAUUUAUGUUUUAUCCCUCUCUUAAGGCUCAAAGUCUUACAUUUUAAUUGCUCAAAAACUACCACCUGAAUGUUAAUUUAGCCAUCCAAGAGGACAAUUAUUAAGGCCUAGCAAGAAAGAAAUUAGCGUUUUUUGAGGGCCCACCAUGUGCAACCCACAAUACAUAAAGUACUUUCUUUACCCCCUAUGUAGCUUGUAGUUCCCUCAUCUCUCUGAAUUAGGUAUUAUUCCUGAUUUACAGAUAAGGAUCAGAGAAAUUAAGCAUUUUGCCCAAAGUCAGAGAACUAAUCAGACUACAAAUGUUAUGUUCCUUCCCCUCAGCCCACUGCCUCUAUAAAGUGCAGUUCUCCCCAUUCAUGUAGCCCUGGGAUACAACAAUGAAUAAAUACCAGGCUCCCCCUGGCAAGUUCAUGGCUAGAGAACAAAUAGGCUGAGAUUUUCUAUCAGCUCUCAGGGAAGGACCGCAAGGAACCAGAAAUUUACAGAUGUUGUAUUUUCUCCAAAGACCUUACACUGAUAAAUGGAAGCAGUAACAGAAGGAGGCAAAGGAGAAACAGGGAGAGGAAGGAAGGACAAGGAAACUAUAAGCUGCAAGACAUGGCCAGGAAAUCACCAGAGGUUCACAGCCUGGAAGUGCUCCACCACUUUCCCCAGCCCGCCUCAGUUUAUUUAUUUUCUUAUGUCAUACUGGAAAAUUAAACUUCUCCCUUUUGAUGUUUACUCUGGAAAGUUCACAUACGAUUCAGGCAGGUAAUUCUGACAUGCAAAAAAACUCAAUUUAUUCUAAGUGACACAGAUAGUGAAAGAGGAAGGAGCUGAAUUAUCCAGACUAUUUCCCUAAAUCUCCCCCUGCAUUCUGCCCAUCUGGUUUCCUUGCAAAUUAUCCAGGUGAACCAUCUGUGCUUGUGACUUUAAACAAAAUUUUUCAAACCCAGUUACCAAAUUCUUCCAUUUAUAAUUUAACUAUUUUUAAAAAAUAUAUUCUCAAUUUUCCUUCCUGCAUAUCCCAGGUGAAGCAGGAUUAGGUCAACUCUAACAUCCUUAAGUAAAGCAACGUUAAAUCCAAAACAUACAUAACCUUAAUAUAUCAUCUUCCAUUGGCCGAUUUUACAACAAUGCUAAUUGCAAUUUUAAAAGAUGACGACAUCUUCUGGAUGAGCCACAGAAAGAAUAAUAUAUUUAGUCUACAAAUUCAUGGAAUACGGAACGACAAGCCAAGUGCACUUUAUCUCCACGGUCUUAUGAUUCCUUAAGCGAGACAGGCAUUUAGAGAACUUCAGAAAUAGUGAUGGGGGUAGCGUGCAGAUGGGGGAACACAGUUUCUUAAAAUGACGCAAUCUAGGUAAUGCUCUGACAACUGUUGCUCUAAACGGUAAGUGGAAAGGUCACAUGAGAAUAAAGAAAAAAUAAUACAAAAAGUAAUUUCCCAGCUAUUUUUUUAAGAUUUUAUUUUUUAAGUAAUCUCUACACCCAACAUGGGGUUCAAAUUUAUAAUCUUGAGAUCAGGAAUCUAACUUACAACCCUGAGAUCACGAGUCACAUGCUCUAUGGACUCAGCCAGCCAGGCACCCCUUCCCAGCUAUUUUAAAUCUUGUUUAGCUCUACUUGAAAAGAGGCUUAGAAAAUGUGGAUGACAGGGGCACGUGGGUGGCUCAGUCGAUUGAGCAUUCAAUUCUUGGAUUUUGGCUCAGGUCAUGAUCCCAGGGUCAUGGGAUGGAGCCCUGCAUGGGGCUUCACACUGAGUGUGGACCCUGCUUAAGAGUCUUGCUCUCUCUCCCUCUGUCCCUCUUCACCCCCCACCCAAAAUUUAAAAAAAAAAAAAAAAAAAAGUGUGGGAGGAAAAAAAAAAAAAAAAAGAAAAAAAGAAAAUGUUGAUGACACUCGAACUUUCAAGCUUGCCCUAAGCAAAAACAUACUUGUUAGUUUGGGUAAGGGGGAUAAGACAAUGUGUGAAUUCUGAAAUAUAGAAAUUUGCCCACAGCAGGAGCCACUAAGCCAGGACCCUUGGUGACAAGUCAUCUGCAGCAAUGAGCAGGACACGGAGAAAUGAAUUACCAGAGCCACAGAGGGCUGAGCAACAGCUUUGGAUUUCACUCUAGAUUUGGCAAGCAGCGAAACAAUGAAACAGUCAAUGACAAUACUGUCCACUGUAUAAAAUCAAGAAAUUAUGAAUCCCUUCUCUAAAUUUAGUAGCUAGACUCAUUCCUGUUUGACUUUUCAAGCCAGUUCAGCCCUAAUAGCAAGUAUAUAACAUAUGACUUCUAAAGCAGAAAAAGGAAAAAUAAUUCCCUCCCGUGAAAAUCAGAACUAUAUCCAGCCAAGUUCUUCUAGUUUUCCAAUGUGGAAAUACUUAGCGAUGGCUGUUCAAAUGCUUAGUCUAGAUCUAAGACACCGAAUGAAAUGAGAAAGAGAGAGAAAUGCAGGCACCGUUCAUUUCUGCAGCAAUGCCCUGAUUAAACAACAAGGCUUACAUUUACAGAACCACAUUAAAGGCUUCAAAAUCCCAUUUACUCUCUGUAGUGACAAAUAUGCUUCAACAACAACUUUCUGACUGUCGAAAGACAGCAGCUCAUGAGAAUUACUAAAAACACAAGCGUCCACAUGACUGUUCUGCUUUUACAUUGAGAAAAAACAAGGUGUUUUUGUUUUGUUACUUCUCGAAUUCAUUUUUCCUAUUCAUCUCACAGUUGAGUAUUUAGUUGAAGCACAGAUGAAAAAGGAGGACAAAGCCUGGGCAAAUUAUCCAAAUAAGAACAUGCUGUCUUCUGUUAAAGGCUUAUAAAAAUAAAUUUGGCUUAUAAACAGGAAUUCAAGGAGAUUUCCACACUGCCCUCUCAUUUUAUCUGAACCUGUUGAUUUUUCACUCAUUCCUACUCUUCUCCAAAUUCAUACAGAGUGGGGGAUGUUGAACAAAAAUUCCAACUAUUUCAUUGUAGUCCGGGUAAACACAAAAACAGGUUUCAAAUUUCAAAUCCAAAGAUCAUAUCGAACAUAACUUUUAAUUUUAAGAGACCAGUCCAGAUGGUACAUGAGGACCACUGCAGACACAAAAUUGGAACUAGUUUCCUAAGCGAAGCUAACAGCCCAUCUGGGGAAUAAUCAAGCAAUGAAUCUCAUUUAAACCCAAGGCACCUUGGAACAUAACUCUUCCUCUUUGGAUUAAGACAUUUCAUCCAACCUCUUGCCUAGAACAUCUUGGCGAGUUGUACUUUCCAUAAUCUGUAUCCCAAGAACUACUCAUCUCUAACUCUCGUGUGGGGUUGGCCACCUCGAGUGACACAGCACCAUGGCAACCUGCUUGAACAUACAGACAUUCCUGAGCCUGAAAGAACCCUCUAACUGCAAAUACAGUCUCAUCGGAAGAGGGCUUCUGCAGCACGGUCUUUCCUCCCUGAACCAAAGAAUUAGAAAGAAAUCUUCAAGAUUUUGUAAAAAGUAUAGCUUUGUGAGAACACAAAGUGAAAUUCAUCAGUGACACUCUAACAACAUUCUGGUUCAGCAGGACUAACUUGUUACUAUCAGAAAAUAAAAAAUUGUAUCUAUUCUUCAUAGUCAACUAAACUGAGAACAGGCAAGUUUUAAUUCUCAAGAGUAAACACACCAUUCCCGCGUAUUUAGCUUUGUAAAUCUCAGUAAAAUGGGUUUACACUCAUCCUUGAUUUGUAUUUCAAGUCACUUCAGCACACCUAUAACCACUACAUAAAAGGUAAUUCCUGCCAAACCUUACAGGGUAAACCUGUGAUAGAUAGCUAGACGGACAGAUGGACACACAGAUAGAUGGACAGACGGAUGAAUGGAUGAUAGAUUUAAAAUACAUUAUUUUCCAAAGGCAAAAAAACAACAUUUGUAAUAUAAACUAUUAACUGAACUGCAUAUUUCGUAGUGUAGAUCAGGUUGUCAUGCUUCAUUAGUAAUAUUUGUGUACAUAAAACUAGCCUUUUUUAGAGAACUACUUCCAUAUGUAUCUACUAUGCCUACGAAGGUUCCAACGGACUGUCCAAUAAAGCUGAAAUGGAAACAGACAAGCCAAGAAGCGGAACUGAUGUCACAGGCUGGUGCCACACUUCUCGCACAGAAGUGAGAAGUGGGGGCAUUAUCAUGGUGCAAGGCUGAGAUCGAAAGCCUCCAAAGCAGCACUGGGAACUCAAUACUAAUAAGGAGUAUUCAAAAAUGAUCCACUCGUGGUUUGCUACUUGGAAAAAAAUAAAUUUAGACCUCCAAAUCCAACUCUACACCAAAAUAAAUUCCAGAUGAGUAAAAGUUAAUUCUCUAAAAAAGUAAGUUUCCAAAACUAAAGUCAAGUUGUAGAUUUUUGGAUUCAAUCUUGAGCAAGGACACCCUAAAUUUUUAAAUGACAAAAAUGAUCAAAGUUUAAAUUUUUUGAUUAUGUAGGAAGGUUAAACUUCCGCAAGUCUAAAAUGUUGCUCUUAAAAGGGAAGUGGGAAAGACAGUCAGCAAUUAAAUCAGUUAUCUGUUACAGGGGUUGGCACACUGUGACCCAGAAGCCAAAUCCAGCCUUCUCCCCAUUUUUGCACAAUCUGCGAGCUAAGUGGUUGAAAAAAAUCAAGAGGAAGAUUUCAGGACAUGUAAAAACUAUAUGAAAUCCCCAUUUCAGUGGCCACAUUAGAGAACAGCCACACUUACUCGCUUGCCUAUUGUCUGGGGCUGCUUUUACCCUAUGAUGGCAGGGCUGAGUAGUUGGGACAGAAACUGCAUGGCCCACAAAGCCUAAAGUAAUAACUGUUUGGCCCUUCCC